CCCCAUUUGUACUCUAGUGUUAGCCUUAAAGGUGUUAGGAUCCCUGGGAUGUUUUUUUACAUAUAUAGUGUAUUUGUAGUACUGUAAAAAUAAAGUAGUUGUGCUAAAGAUAUAGGGGGGGUGUUUGGGACUGCUCUGCUCCACGUUUUUUAGCUCCGCUCCACGUUUUUUAGCCAAAUGGUUUCAGGUCCAUGCACUUAGUUCGAGGAAAAAGGGUGGAGUUGUGAGAGCACCUAAAGAGGUACUCCACAAACUCUAGUUUUUUGUGGAGCUGCUCCACGGUGGAGUUUGUUGAGCAGUCCCAAACACCCCCAUACUCCCUCCAUUCUGUUUUACCCGGCGCGAGAGGCAUGACACCAGAUACCAAGAUGACGUACUAGUUCAGCGAUAGUAACCACCUUGCGGCAUGCAUGGAGUAACCACCUUGCGGCAUGCAGGGAUGUAUUAACUCUCCGUUGCCUACCUGUUGCGCUUUUUUCUCUCCCACCCGAGUAAUUAAAUUAUCCUUGAUAACCCAGCUCGCCUCCUAUUCUAGCAGAAUUGAAAAAUGGGUGUGCGCCUGGUAAAACGGAAUGGAGGGAGUAUUGAUGAUAGCUUGCAUAUUCUUCUGCACUGGCAGUAUUUCCCAUAUAUAUAUUUUAGUAAUUAUUACGAGGUUUACAAUAUGGUUGAAAGGUCCCCAAAGACACAUGCAUGAAAUUGUGCCAUUUGGCUCAUUUACUACUGUACCAGUGGUGUUUAAACUUAUUCAGUGCUCCUGUUACGUUAUAGUAAUUAUGUAAGGCUGUUGAGGUUUUACUUUCUUGUGUGUGGGUAAAUUUUAUUUUGAACCACUCCGCACUCAAAAGCUUGGUUCAGUUUAGAGAUGUUCUGUGCGUAGCCCUUUUUGUUCUUCAUUGAUCAUAAUCAACAUUUCUUGACUUUGCAAACGGGCUUCUAGCUGAGUUGGUUAGGUGAUUCUAGUAGCACUUCUCAGAUCUUGGGUUUGACUCCCCGUUGGAGCGAAUUUCAGGCUUGGCUUGGGUUGAAUAUACUGGGGAGGUCUGUUCCACAGUAUUUCUUUCCAAAAAAAAAACAUUUUCUUGAAUUUACACUAACUGAGUUGGCUGUUGCCACAAAUUAGGAC
rnacentral:lncRNA from 1 species